rnacentral:rRNA from 1 species
AGUGAACGCUGGCGGUAGGCCUAACACAUGCAAGUCGAACGGCAGCACAGUAAGAGCUUGCUCUUACGGGUGGCGAGUGGCGGACGGGUGAGGAAUACAUCGGAAUCUACUUUUUCGUGGGGGAUAACGUAGGGAAACUUACGCUAAUACCGCAUACGACCUACGGGUGAAAGCAGGGGAUCUUCGGACCUUGCGCGAUUGAAUGAGCCGAUGUCGGAUUAGCUAGUUGGCGGGGUAAAGGCCCACCAAGGCGACGAUCCGUAGCUGGUCUGAGAGGAUGAUCAGCCACACUGGAACUGAGACACGGUCCAGACGCCUACGGGAGGCAGCAGUGGGGAAUAUUGGACAAUGGGCGCAAGCCUGAUCCAGCCAUACCGCGUGGGUGAAGAAGGCCUUCGGGUUGUAAAGCCCUUUUGUUGGGAAAGAAAGGCAGCAGGUUAAUACCCCGCUGUUCUGACGGUACCCAAAGAAUAAGCACCGGCUAACUUCGUG